UUUAUUAACAAAUUUCCAUCUCUAAAUAAAAAAUAUGAAAUUAAUUAAACAAAGGGAUUCUCAAUUGAUAUUAAAACCAUUGUUAUUUAAAUUUUUAAAAUACCCUCCAUCUCAGAGAUAAUAUAUUUAAAUGUAAUGCUUAAAUCAUGUCAAAGAAACUAUUUUCAACUUUAUAACUGAAAAAUUGCUAAGCCUUGUUCAAAACUUUAAGAAGAUCCAACCAAGUUGGAUUAUUUAAACUUGCAAUAAAUAGAUGUAUUUUCUUGGAAAAAUAUCUAUUGUUACAGUAAAACUUGAGUUUCCUUUCUAACAAGAUUGUAUGAUUACUCGUUUAUAUUGUUCUUUCCGCAGGAAUUUACACACCCCCCUGUUUGCAUCCUGUUAUUCACUUUGAGCUUCCCUUCGCUUCGCUAUACUGUUUCCCUAACAGUGGAAGAGUGGGUCCAACUGCACACAAAAAUCCUAAUCAUUGUUAGCAGGUUUCAAAUCUCUUCGUUUGCAUCUACCAUUUUUUC
rnacentral:lncRNA from 1 species